rnacentral:rRNA from 1 species
UACGGAGGGGGCCAGCGUUGUUCGGAAUUAUUGGGCGUAAAGGGCGCGUAGGCGGCCGGAUAAGUCUGACGUGAAAUCCCUCGGCCUAACCGGGGAACUGCGUCUGAAACUGUUCGGCUUGAGUCCGGGAGAGGGUAGUGGAAUUCCCAGUGUAGCGGUGAAAUGCGUAGAUAUCGUGAGGAAGACCAGUUGCGAAGGCGGAUCUCUGGGCAGUUCCUGACACUGAGGCACGAAGGCCAGGGGAGCAAACGGG